AUGCGCGGGGCCCGCUCUACCGACUCGCCCUAGUCUUUUGCUUUCUUUUUCUGCCCUCGGCCUCGCUCUUGCGCACGGGACCACAAUGCUCCGCGCCGCUUGUCAUUGGGAGGCGCCGAAGGUGGAGAGGUCGGCUCGGAAGGAAAAGAUCACUCACUCUUGGGGGCAUCCAGCAGCCAUGUUGUGAGGACACUCAAGCAGCUGUGAAGAGGUGCACCUGGAGAGGAACUGAGGCCUCCCACCAAAACCAAGCACUGACAUGCCACUCAUGGCAAUCACAGGAAUAUAUAAAACAUGAGCAGAAAGAGGCCUUUGGAGAAAUCUGGACCAGCAUUCUCAUUUUACGGAUGAGGGACCACGGCCCAUGGAGGUUUCCAUAGAUGAUUGGAAAAACCCAAGAGUUGGUCCUCUGUUCCAGACCCCACACAGACACAAACCUACAAGCCAAGGGAGCCAGUAUUUGGCCAUUCGUCCAUCCAUCUGCAUGUCCCAGGGAUGCACGAACAGGGAACACUUCAGCCUUUCGGCUGCCUUCAAAGAAGCAAUGAGAGAGAGAGAGAGGGUUACUUUGAUGAGUGAGCAGAUACCAGGUACUGUUUUGGGGAAACUGCUUUUCUCUGAGUCUAUAUUGGUCUGCACAAAUAAACUAAAAUGCUUUUUAAGUUGUUUUAUGAUCU
rnacentral:lncRNA from 1 species